rnacentral:rRNA from 1 species
GGAGGGUAGGGGCAAGCAGAUGGGGGAAGAGGUGGGGGGCGAGGGUGGUUCGGGAUUGAUGGGAGUAAAGGGCGUGGAGGGUGGUGUUUAAGUAGGGGGUGAAAGCCUUUAGCUCAACUCAAGAAAGGCACUCGAUACUGGAUGACUUGAGGACCGGAGAGGAUAGUGGAAUUCCCAGUGUAGUGGUGAAAGACGUAGAGAUUGGGAAGAACACCAGUGGCGAAGGCGGCUAUCUGGACGGUUUCUGACGCUAAGACGCGAAAGCGUGGGGAGCAAACAGGAUUAGAUACCCGGGUAGUC